rnacentral:rRNA from 1 species
GUGGGGAAUAUUGGGCAAUGGGCGCAAGCCUGACCCAGCAACGCCGCGUGAAGGAAGAAGGCUUUCGGGUUGUAAACUUCUUUUACCAGGGACGAAACAAAUGACGGUACCUGGUGAAUAAGCCACGGCUAACUACGUGCCAGCAGCCGCGGUAAUACGUAGGUGGCGAGCGUUAUCCGGAUUUAUUGGGUGUAAAGGGCGUGUAGGCGGGACAGCAAGUCAGAUGUGAAAACCAGAGGCUCAACCUCUGGCCUGCAUUUGAAACUGUUGUUCUAGAGUGUCGGAGAGGUAAUCGGAAUUCCGUGUGUAGCGGUGAAAUGCGUAGAUAUACGGAGGAACACCAGUGGCGAAGGAGGAUUACUGGACGAUAACUGACGCUGAGGCGCGAAAGCGUGGGGAGCAAACAGGAUUAGAAACCCUGGUAGUCC